UGAGUGUGUUAUAAAGGAUAUUGUGUUUUAGAGUGUUUUGUGAAAUGCGUUUCUCUUUUAGUGCUCUCAGUAUUUCAACAGCAUGGAGGGUCAUGUGGAUCAGCCAUCUUUGCCAAAUAGGGUGGCAAUCCCAACAUCUGUCAGUUUCAUACCCACACCUGGACAUAAAAGAGAAUAUUUGUAAUGGUUGCCGUCGGUCUGUGUAUAGACCCAGUGCUGGAAGGCACAGCACUUCUGUCCCGCCUCAGAGUCUCUGCGCA